UGCAAAGUCGAGCGGCAGCGGAAAGUAGNUUGCUACUUUGCCGGCGAGAGGAGAACGGGUGAGUAAUGUCUGGGAAACUGCCUGAUGGAGGGGGAUAACUACUGGAAACGGUAGCUAAUACCGCAUGACCUCGAAAGAGCAAAGUGGGGGAUCUUCGGACCUCCCCCCAUCGGAUGUGCCCAGAUGGGAUUAGCUAGUAGGUGAGGUAAUGGCUCACCUAAGCGACGAUCCCUAGCUGGUCUGAAAGGAUGACCAACCGCACUGGAACUGAGACACGGUCCAGACUCCUACGGGAGGCUUCAGUGGGGAAUAUCGCCUAAUGGGCCACACUCAGAGUCAUCCCAGCCGGGUGAGUGGAGAGGCGCCUAUCGUUGUAACCCCUUUCAGC
rnacentral:rRNA from 1 species